UCCCUGUCUUGCCCUUAGCAGAGGGAGCACUUGCAGACCUGAUAGCAGUUUCCUAUUGACUGUGCUUCUCAGGAUCAGUUCCUAUACAUCUUCAACUGUGCACUGUCUUGAUCUUGAACUGAAGAACACCAGGAGAAAAGGAGGGAUCACUUGUGAACUGGAAGUAUGCCUUGAGCUACAAAGGAGUAUGAAGAUAUUCAGAGGAGUAUGCAGCAUCAAGGUGGGUGAGAGAAGACAGAGAGAGCACCCUGGAACUCCCCAGGUUUUUUAGGAUGAUAUUUUUGAAACUUCUUGCUCCUUGGUGAAACCUCUUGAUUUAUCCAAAAUAGAGUAUUCCUGCAUGUACACAUUUCAUCAAAAAUAUUUCUAUGUUCUGCUGAUUCCUCAAAAUUGGAUGGGA